rnacentral:rRNA from 1 species
CGCCUGGGGAGUGCGGCCGCAAGGUUAAAACUCAAUGAAUUGACGGGGGCCCGCACAAGCGGUGGAGCAUGUGGUUUAAUUCGACGCAACGCGAAGAAUCUUACCUGGCCUUGACAUCCAGAGAGCUUUCCAGAGAUGGAUUGGUGCCUUCGGGAACUCUGAGACAGGUGCUGCAUGGCCGUCGUCAGCUCGUGUCGUGAGAUGUUGGGUUAAGUCCCGUAACGAGCGCAACCCCUAUCCCUGGUUGCUAGCAGGUAAUGCUGAGAACUCCAGGGAGACUGCCGGUGACAAACCGGAGGAAGGUGGGGAUGACGUCAGGUCAUCAUGGCCCUUACGGCCAGGGCUACACACGUGCUACAAUGGCGCGUACAGAGGGCUGCCAACUCGCGAGAGUGAGCCAAUCCCUUAAAACGCGUCGUAGUCCGGAUCGGAGUCUGCAACUCGACUCCGUGAAGUCGGAAUCGCUAGUAAUCGCGAAUCAGAAUGUCGUGGUGAAUACGUUCCCGGGCCUUGUACACACCGCCCGUCACACCAUGGGAGUGGAUUGCACCAGAAGUAGUUAGUCUAACCUUCGGGAGGACGAUUACCACGGUGUGGUUCAUGACUGGGGGUGAAGUCGUAACAAGGUAACCGUA